rnacentral:lncRNA from 1 species
UUCCUUGCCCCAAGAGUAGACGCACUGGCGAGCCGUUAUACCAGCACAGUGCAGGGCACUGACCACAAUGAAGAAGAGCUUGAUACCGAGGCUCAAGUGCAGACUUCCAUCUUGGAGAGGGUGGGGCUCAACAGGUGUGUAGUCGAAAUGCACAAGUACGUAGGACCUGGGCCUCCGUAAGCGUGCGUGCGUCAAGGUACUCGUACUGAAUGUGCGGGCACUGUGUUCACCCAGUGUAUGCAUUCAGUGGUAAUGUGGCCCCGACUGUGUGCCCUCUUGUCAUGCUCAGUGUACCGAUGACUGAAGAGGAGGUGGAGGUAAGUUGACUUUGUUUACUGAAGUGUAUAGCGCUGCAUUUUCUGUAGUUUUUUGAAAAACCCUGAUCAAAUAUAAAACAUUCAUUUCCUUCUCUGAGAUGUGAACCUCUCCAAGCUCUGAAAUAGUGCAAGGCCCUUUUCCUUUUCUUUUGACAGAGUGCUUUCUUCCACCUGGCUCUGGCUUUUCGCUGUAACCAGUAUACCCUGCAAAAGAGGCUGCAGGCAGAGGAGCACGACCGCAUCGUGGCCCAAGAGAACCUCCACCUCGAGCUGGAGCGGAGCAGGGACACGCUACGGACCCUGCAGACAAUUUGUUUGGACAGCCAGUGCACCCAGAUUUUGCAGAGACUGCAGCACCACCUGGAAGUCAUCAGCAACUCUGUUAAUCAAAUUGCAGAUGCCGCAGAGAUGCUGGGUGCAGUGCACCAGGAGGCACGGCUGUGCCGAGACGUGCAGGUGAUGAUGCUGCAUGUGGACAAUCUGAAAGGCCGCCACACUGAGGAGAGCACAGAGCUGGAGGCGACCAGGAAGCUUCUGCUGAAAAAUCGUGGCCAGAAACAAAGUGACACUGCAGAUAAAGGUGAAAUUCGUCAUGUUUUCACAAGGCAGAAAUCUCAGCAGCACAGAACUCGUCGAAGGGUCAGCUUCACUCUGAUUCCAACUCAGCUCGGUGGUCUGCAGGAGAAACUGUCCAACAGUUGCGAGAACACAAGGAAGGAUAGUGUGGACUCUCGUUCGGAGGAUAAUUCAGAAGUCCCUUGCACCAUCGCUGGGAAAACCGACGUUCCGGAACUGGAUGCAGUCAGCGAGCUUCAGAGCACCAAGCCCCAGACUUCAGCAAGAGGAGAUGCCUUGAGGAGCAACUUCUCCCAGCACAGAGAGGUUCCCACCGCCGACUUCCGGGAGGAUCUCCAGACUAGGGGAGAGAAGGAGGAUACAGGCAUCCCAUCUGCCCCCUGUUCAUUGUGGAAUGGCCUGCGAUGGCGGAGGAGGGGUGCAGAGAGCGCAGAGUGGGACACCGGGCAUGAUGACAGGAUGGAAAAAGAGAGUGACUGCGAGGUCACCGGCUAUGAUUUUAACAUGGAAACGUGUGCCCUUCCGUCCAAACAGCAUCGUCUGACAACCUGUUUUUUUCACUGUCACUGGAUCCUCUAUUGUUUUUUUCUAAUGGCGUUCUCCUUUCUGAUGCUGCUGGGAAUCCUGCUCUGGCCCCUUCGGGCCCCUCUCUUCACAAUAUGACUCCCCACUUUGUGCUUAUGAGCUAUAUUUUUCUGGUUAAGAGCUCUCCAAAUUAUUGUAGUUCUCCUCUUCUGGAUUUGACUUGCCCCACCCCCCCAACCAAACAAUGAUGUGACUAUGUAAAGUUUUGCCGUACCUGAGAAAUGAAGAUAUUAUAAUUUGUCCAGCCUGUAAACUGACCUGUGGCAUACAUAGUGUUUAAUUAAAUAUGCAAUGUUGCUCAUGAACCUUAAAUACAGUAGUUUUAUAUUAUACUGUAUAUAUUUAGGGCAAUAUACAGG